AAACUCAAAUGAAUUGACGGGGACCCGCACAAGCGGUGGAUUAUGUGGAUUAAUUCGAUGCAACGCGAAAACCUUACCUACCCUUGACAUGCCAGGAAUCCCGAAGAGAUUUGGGAGUGCCCGAAAGGGAAUCUGGACACAGGUGCUGCAUGGCUGUCGUCAGCUCGUGUCGUGAGAUGUUGGGUUAAGUCCCGCAACGAGCGCAACCCUUGCCAUUAAUUGCCAUCAUUCAGUUGGGCACUUUAAUGGGACUGCCGGUGAUAAACCGGAGGAAGGUGGGGAUGACGUCAAGUCCUCAUGGCCCUUAUGGGUAGGGCUUCACACGUAAUACAAUGGUCGGUACAGAGGGUCGCCAACCCGCGAGGGGGAGCCAAUCCCAGAAAGCCGAUCGUAGUCCGGAUUGUUCUCUGCAACUCGAGAGCAUGAAGUCGGAAUCGCUAGUAAUCGCGGAUCAGCAUGUCGCGGUGAAUACGUUCCCGGGUCUUGUACACACCGCCCGUCACACCAUGGGAGCGGGUUCUGCCAGAAGUAGCUAGUCUAACCGCAAGGAGGACGGUUACCACGGCGGGGUUCGUGACUGGGGUGAAGUCGUAACAAGGUAGCCGUAUCGGAAGGUGCGGCUGGAUCACCUCCUUUCUG
rnacentral:rRNA from 1 species